AGAUUGAACGCUGGCGGCAUGCCUAACACAUGCAAGUCGAACGGGAGUAGCAAUACUCUAGUGGCGGACGGGUGAGGAAUACGUAGGAAUUUGCCCUUAAGUGGGGGAUAACCCGGGGAAACCCGGAUUAAUACCGCAUGACCUCGAAAGAGCAAAGUGGGGGAUCGCAAGACCUCACGCUUUUGGAGAAGCCUACGUCGGAUUAGCUAGUUGGUGAGGUAAUGGCUCACCAAGGCGACGAUCCGUAACUGGUCUGAGAGGAUGAUCAGUCACACCGGAACUGAGACACGGUCCGGACUCCGUACGGGAGGCAGCAGUGGGGAUAUUGGACAAUGGGCGCAAGCCUGAUCCGAGCAAUGCCGCGUGGU
rnacentral:rRNA from 1 species